rnacentral:rRNA from 1 species
UAGAUUAUAAUGUUAGUUAAUAUUGAAUUAUUAUUAAUAAUUUUAAUUUAGUAGUGAAAUGUUUACCCGAUUUAAAAGAUAUCUAGUUUUUUUAGAGUUGAAUUUAAUUCAGUAUUUAAUUUGUAUAAAAGUAAAUUUUAAGUAAAUUUAUAAAUUUAAAUAAAAUUAUUUUAGGGAUUAGCUUAAAAUAUUUUAAUAAUUUAAUUUAAUUUAAGUUUUUAAAUGUAUUUAUAGUAAUAAAAAUUUUUAAUAAGUAUGUUAUAAUUUAUAAAUAAUUUAAAUUUAAUUUUAAGUGAAAAUUUUAAAAUUCUAUGAAAAAAAUUAUUUUAAUUAUGAAAAUUAAGAUAUAAUGAUAAUAUUAGUAAAUUUUAUUUUGUUAGAGUAAUUAAUAUAUUUAAAAUUGAUAUUAAAGAAUUAGACAAAAUUUUGUAUUCGCCUGUUUAUCAAAAACAUGGUUUGUAGAUAAUAAUUAUAAAUCGACUCUGCCCAAUGAAAUAAUAUUUUUAAUGGCUGCGGUAGCCUGACCGUACAAAGGUAGCAAAAUCAAUAGUUUUUUAAUUGAAAGCUGGAAUGAAUGAGUUGAUGAAAUAUAAAUUGUUUCAAUAUUAAUAAUUGAAAUUAAAAUUUGAGUUAAAAUGCUUAAAUUUUAUUAUUAGACGAUAAGACCCUAUAGAAUUUUAUAAAAUUUAAGUAAAGAAAAUUUUUUGUAAGAUGAGGUUUUUUACUUAAUUAUAUUUAGUUGGGAUGAUUAUAAAAUUUA